GCACUGGUGAUUCAGUAGAAUUCUUGCCUUCCAUGCAGGAGACCCAGGUUCGAUUCCAGGCCAAUGUA
rnacentral:tRNA from 1 species